rnacentral:rRNA from 1 species
GGAUCAUUACUGAGUGUAACAACUCCCAAACCCACUGUGAACCUUACCACUGUUGCUUCGGCGGACACGCCCCGGGNCCCCUCCUUCGGGAGUGGUGCCCCGGAGCUAGGCGGCCGCCGGAGACCUUUAUCUCUGUAUUUAUCCAUGGGUAUCUCUGAGUCUGAUUUACAAUCAACAUUAAAACUUUCAACAACGGAUCUCUUGGCUCUGGCAUCGAUGAAGAACGCAGCGAAAUGCGAUAAGUAAUGCGAAUUGCAGAAUUCAGUGAAUCAUCGAAUCUUUGAACGCACAUUGCGCCCCCCAGUACUCUGGGAGGCACGCCUGUCUGAGCGUCAUUUUAACCCUCGCGCCCGCCGCGCGUGUUGGGGAUCGGCCGCCCGCCUAGCGNNNGCCGGCCCCUUANNUCUAGNGNNACCANNNCNUAGCCNUCCUCCGCGGUAGUAGUUUAACACACCUCGNGGGCGGAAGAGCGGCGCGGCCUUGGCNGUAAAAACACCCAUUCUUCACAAGGUUGACCUCAGAUCAGGUGGGAAUACCCGCUGAACUUAAGCAUAUCAAUAAGCGGAGGAAAAGAAACCAACAGGGAUUGCCUCAGUACGGCGAGUGAAGCGGCAACAGCUCAAAUUUGAAAUCUGCCCCCCAGGCCCGAGUUGUAAUUUGCAGNGGAUGUUUCUGGCGAGGCACUUUUCGAGUUCCCUNGAACGGGACGCCAUAGAGGGUGAGAGCCCCGUACGGUUGGUCGCUAAGCCUCUGUGAAACUCCUUCGACGAGUCGAGUAGUUUGGGAAUGCUGCUCUAAAUGGGAGGUGUACGCCUUCUAAAGCUAAAUACCGGCCAGAGACCGAUAGCGCACAAGUAGAGUGAUCGAAAGAUGAAAAGCACUUUGAAAAGAGGGUUAAACAGUACGUGAAAUUGUUGAAAGGGAAGCGCUCAAGACCAGACCUGGGCCGGUUGAUCAUCCACCGUUCUCGGUGGUGCACUCGGCCGGCUCAGGCCAGCAUCAGUUUGGCUCGGGGGAUAAAGGCUCCGGGAAUGUGGCUCCCUCCGGGGAGUGUUAUAGCCCGUUGCGUAAUACCUUGAGCCGGACUGAGGUUCGCGUUCUGCAAGGAUGCUGGCGUAAUGGUUAUCAGUGACC